GCCCGAGAGGUAGUUCGCAAAUGACCUCGCGGUGGCUCAGCGUUUUAACCCAGUGGUGUUUCUGUUUUGCUCCAGUAAUGCGAGAAAGGAAGGGUAGCAUGCCGGCUAGGAAAGGGGAAGGUCCCUUCCCAAACUCUCGGUUCCAUCACUCUCGUGUUUCGUCGCCCGGUCGAUGGAAAAGAAAAUCCUGGAUUUUUUUUUUUUUUUUUUGUCUGCGAAAGAGAAGAGCUGGGUUCGGGAACUGCUGAAGCCACAGGAAUGGAAAACGUGAAAGACCCUCCUAGAAGGCCUGGGAGGAAGGAGCUCUCGGACUGGCAGCGCUGGCGGUUCCCUUUGCGUAUCUGGACUGGUUGUUAACGACCGACCAACCUUGCCGUCCUUCGAGACCUGCAUUGCCGCCAGUCCAGAGUCUCUCAGCCAAGAGAGAAAAACUGGGUCUGACUGCCAUUAGCUAGCUGCGGCUUCUUAGUCUGUAAAAGGGGUAGAGGGACAAGACUGAAGCGCCUGGAGCCAGCACCGGGACGCAGGUCACCAGUAACGCUGGAGGUCUCCGUGAUCCGCGCCACUACUAACCAAACUGAAGUGGCAAAGAGUCCUAUUCUCGGCGGAUAGUCCGAGUCCUGGAGUGGGUCUAGGCCCUGAGAUCCUAGGCUAGUGUCCUCACGUCUUGGUUUCUGAAGUACUUACAGUUACUAAGUCAUAGGAAAACAGAAAUCUCUCCUGAGUUCACUGUUUUAGUUACAGGGUCUAGAACCCGGGUCUAACCUAGCGCAUGCGUGAUACUGAGCUCCUUGGAGACUAUGGCAUUUUGUUUUUCCCUAUGUCCCAGCACUCUAAUUACAGGACCUUCAGAAUUUGUUCAGCACUGUACCACAAGCUUCCUGGAAUUUGGAGCUUAAUUCUGCAUAUCUAUUUACCCAAAUCUGGGGAAAGGCGGAAAUCAGAGGUUGCCAGGUAGUUAAUACCUUGUUUUUCCCAAGAGCAGCUACAAAAUGAAGGUAUUGUAUACGGGAAACAUGGAGGCUUGAGGCUCAGAAAGUGGAGCCAGAGUAGAAAUGGUCAAUAGGACAAGCUAUGUUGUAAGCUGAGUGAACUCUAUAAGCGAAAGGGAAAUUUCCCCCUUUCUGUUUCCUACUAAAAGCCAGAAACCAGUACCCUUUCCAUCAGCCUUUCAAACUAGUCAUAGGAGCUAUGUUUCCAGGAAAUGGUAAAAAUACAGAGACACCUGAAGCCACAUAUAGGUUAGUUUAUUUCCUCUGAGUCUCUUGAGAAGUCAGCAGGGAUAUAAGGCGAACUGGUAGGAGCUGCGGGGGGUCCUGAGCAGAGCUGAUGCAGGGAAUAGAGGCUGGCAUAGGCAGGAAGAAGAGAUUUAAAUAUUCAGGUCCAAAAGCCAGUUAGUGAGUCUCCUUCAUCUGUCUUUGGAUUUUGUGUAACAUCUCCUGCAUCCGCCGCAGCUGAAACAGGCACAUACAUCAUCAAUGCAAGGUGUU
rnacentral:lncRNA from 1 species